rnacentral:piRNA from 1 species
UGGCAGACCUGCCUCAGAUUUAGACC